rnacentral:rRNA from 1 species
GACGAACGCUGGCGGCGUGCUUAACACAUGCAAGUCGAACGGUGACCUCGAGAGCUUGCUCACGAGUGAUCAGUGGCGAACGGGUGAGUAACACGUGAGUGACCUGCCCCAGACUCUGGAAUAACCCCGGGAAACCGGAGCUAAUACCGGAUACGAGACGGAGUCGCAUGGCUACCGUCUGGAAAGUUUUUCGGUCUGGGAUGGACUCGCGGCCUAUCAGCUUGUUGGUGAGGUAACGGCUCACCAAGGCGACGACGGGUAGCCGGCCUGAGAGGGCGACCGGCCACACUGGGACUGAGACACGGCCCAGACUCCUACGGGAGGCAGCAGUGGGGAAUAUUGCACAAUGGGCGAAAGCCUGAUGCAGCGACGCCGCGUGAGGGAUGACGGCCUUCGGGUUGUAAACCUCUUUCAGCAGGGAAGAAGCGAAAGUGACGGUACCUGCAGAAGAGGCACCGGCUAACUACGUGCCAGCCGCCGCAGUAAAAC